CCUACGGGUGGCUGCAGUGAGGAAUAUUGGUCAAUGGACGCAAGUCUGAACCAGCCAUGCCGCGUGCAGGAUGAAGGUGCUAUGCAUUGUAAACUGCUUUUGUACGAGGGUAAAUGCAGGUACGUGUACCUGUUUGAAAGUAUCGUACGAAUAAGGGUCGGCUAACUCCGUGCCAGCAGCCGCGGUAAUACGGAGGACCCGAGCGUUAUCCGGAUUUAUUGGGUUUAAAGGGUGCGUAGGCGGAUUAGUAAGUUAGAGGUGAAAGCUCGAUGCUCAACAUCGAAAUUGCCUCUGAUACUGUUAGUCUAGAGUAUAGUUGCGGAAGGCGGAAUGUGUGGUGUAGCGGUGAAAUGCUUAGAUAUCACACAGAACACCGAUUGCGAAGGCAGCUUUCCAAGCUAUUACUGACGCUGAUGCACGAAAG
rnacentral:rRNA from 1 species